UUUUCACGCGCACAACGCUAAUAUUACCGUGUUAUUCAAUCCUGUCCACACAAUAGUUAAAAUACUCACUCUCAUAUUAUCUAUUUUAUGUGUAAGUGACUUGACGAUAAGUGCUUGUGUAGUUGAUGUUUUACGUGGAAAAGUGACGAAAUAAUUAUCUUAAUGUAAAACAGAAGUAAUUCUUUUAAAUAAAGGAAACAAAUUCGUUCGUCUUUGAAGUCGGCGGAAAUCAAGCGAAGCGACACCCCGCACAGGAAUUAGAACAAGGAGUAGCAAAAGUUGGUAGAGGGGAGGGGAAAAAAAACAACACCCGCCAGGAGGGGACAGAAGAAGUGGGGGCGCCACGCAUCGCUCGGGGGUGGCGACAGGAUAUAAAGACCACGGCUAACAGUGUGGAUGGACUCAUUAUUAUAGGGUUAGGGGAAGCCACUCCGGUAGCUGCAAACAACGCGCUGCAAAAUUUUUUGAACAAUCCAAAAUUUUCAUUCGUCCAUCAGUACAAGGAAAUAUAAGGACUAAAUUUUCAACUUUAAACAUUUUUGAAACUUCAUACACUUUCUGUAUUCAUCAACUUGAUACACGACAGAGUAUUUUAAAGUCCAUCUAAAGGUUGAUUUCUAAACAAAUUCCAAAAUAACACAAGAAGAUUAGUUUAGAUAUAGUUGAUUACAAUUUUAGCUGAAAUUUAGAACGAACAAUUAUUUUUCUUUAUAAUUUCACAUUAGAAAAUCGUAGGAUUUGUAGCGAGAAGAGAUUGGACUUUCCUGGAUUUGUUCCUGAGAACACAACAAAAA